rnacentral:rRNA from 1 species
UUAGGAAUCUUGCGCAAUGGACGAAAGUCUGACGCAGCGACAUCGCGUGAAGGAUGAAGGCCCUCGGGUCGUAAACUUCUUUUAUUGUGCCAUGAAGGCACUUUGAAUCAACAGCUACUAACUACGUGCCAGCAGUCGCGGUAAUACGUAGGCUGUAAGCGUUACCCGGUUUUAUUGGGCGUAAAGCGUCUGUAGGUGGUUUGAUAAGUCUUGUUUCAAAGCCCCCAGCUCAACUGGGGACAGGGGCAGGAUACUGUCAGACUAGAGUGAUAUCGGAGUUACUGGAAUUUUUAGUGUAGGGGUAAAAUCCGUGGAUACUAAAAAGAACACCAAGCGCGAAGGCGGGUAACUAGGUAUAUACUGACACUCAGAGACGAAAGCUAGGGUAGUCAAUCAGAUU